rnacentral:pre_miRNA from 1 species
UCUUAUGGAUGAGAAAGAAAAUAGUUUCUUAAGACAGAAUCUAUUUCUGGUGACAGUGCUGUGAA